CUGCGACCUGAGGAAGUCGUUUACACAGUGUGGCAGACACCACUUCUGAAAUUCACACCCCCUCCCACCCCCGGAUUUAUUCCCCCACCCCGUGCACGCAGGGACGGACACGCCCCCACUCCUGGGCGGCCCCUAAGAGAGGUUCUAUUUCCCACCAGCCUUAGCAAAGGUCAGGACCUGUGCACUUAAGGAAGAGCUUCCCCUACCGGAAAAAGGAUUUCCCAGGAUGUCUCAAGUAGGCAGGCUGUGACUAAGGGAGAGGCCGAUUAGCCUCACUAUGAGAGACAGAGCAUGAACGGGGGAGGGGCAGAGAGAGAGGG